UGUAUGUACUUUAGUAUUCCAAAGGUUUUAGCUUAUUCUUAUUGUGUUGUCUGGUUAAUUUUUAAAAUAAGCAUGACUGAAGUAAGGAUUAUAGUUUGAUUAAGGCCCAUCUGGACAAUUGGACUACUGAGAUGGAUGACUUUGAUGCUGUAGGCAGACUUCAGGAGCAAACAAGGACACCGAAUGUUCCUGAACAUCCUAUACAAGUGGAUAGACGAUAUCCUAUGUGGCGCCAUCUAGUGGUAAAGAAGAGCAUGGCAUUACAAGGUGCAGCGAGCACAACCUGACGAAUGUCAGGAUAAAAAUUGGUAAUUAUCGAAAAUGAAAACUGGAGAAACAGGUUAAAAUAACAGAAAACUGGACUAUUGUUCACUGGAAACU